AUCCUUCUGACAUGGUCUCUUUUAGGUGUGGGGAUUAGCUUUGGUUUCUCAAGAAAGCCUUCUUAUUACUGGUUCUGCUGACAGUGAGCUGAGGGCCUGGAACAUCAGCUUUUUCCAGGAAGAUGAAGAUCCCAGUGAGCCUGAAUAUAAAAGAAUCAAAGGAUCUGCAGAGAGAAUAAAAGAUCCUACUGAAGAGGACAGGAUAAUAGAUAAGGAUGAGACCCAGCAGCAGGACAUUCUGAGUUGCAGCAAAUCUGGCUCUAUCAUGCGGGAAGGAAGAGACAGAAUUGUUAGUCUUGGCACUGACCGGACAGGGAGGAUUCUUGCUUGCCAUGGAACAGAUUGUAUUCUGGAAGUAUUCCAUGUCCUUAGCAAGGAAGAGAUUGACAAGAAAAUAGAGAAGAAGAUGAAGAAAGCAAGGAAAAAGGCCAAGCAGAUAUCACAUCUGGAGGAGGAAGAACUUGAUGCUAAUAUAGAGUGUAGUCUGCAAGAAAGGAUUCAACGUCUCAUUAACAUCAAAGCCUCUGCAAAAAUUAAGUGAGCAGGAAGAAUUGCCUA